rnacentral:rRNA from 1 species
CCCUUAGAUGUUCUGGGCCGCACGCGCGCUACACUGAUGCAUUCAACGAGUCUAAAACCUGCUCUGAUAGGGGUGGGUAAUCUUUUGAAUGUGCAUCGUGAUUGGGAUAGAUGAUUGCAAUUUUUCAUCUUCAACGAGGAAUGCCUAGUAAACGCAAGUCAUCAGCUUGCAUUGAUUACGUCCCUGCCCUUUGUACACACCGCCCGUCGCUCCUACCGAUUGAAUGAUCCGAUGAAUAUCAUGGAUUGAGGAUGCAAGCAGGUUCGCCUGGCUUCAUCUUCGAGAAGUGAAGUAAAUCUUAUCAUUUAGAGGAAGGAGAAGUCGUAACA